CACUACAUGAUAUUCUCUUGCUUAUUGAAUUUUGUUUUUGUGUUUAAUGCCUGUCAUCCUCCACAGGAAUGUAGGGUCCGUGAGAGCAGGAGCCCUUUUUGUCUUACUCCCUAUUGUUGUCCCAGAGCCUAGGAUGUUGCCUAGUAUAUAAACACAGAUCUCUCUUGGACACUGGUGAUCAAAGCAUCUAUCUAUCAUGAUAUUCAGAACUCCCCUCCAGUAUUAACUAAGGAUGUUAGAUUUUGCAGCUUCUUUCAGAGCAGUUGCUAAGACUAGCUCUUCACUUGUAUUACUUCCCGGUGAUGGUGCUGAGGAGAGAGGGACUGAAGCUUCUGAAUUCCAACUCCAGCCCUGGCUUUGUAAAGAAAGUCAUUUGGAUAAGCUCUUGUUAGCUGUCUGUCCUGAUCUACAAUGACCAGCAUGGGACUAAGGUCAUAUGCUAUCAUCAGGCCUCACCUCUAGUUAUGAGGUACCACAUUGCUUAUCCUCAUCAUUGCAGAGCAAGACAAGACUGUAUCCAGAGGGCUGAUCUCAUUAUGAUGGAAAUCACAAUGAUGGAAAAAAUCUUCCAUCAUUUUUCAUAUCUCUUGCAACUCCCUGUCCCUUCCCCCCACCAGGUAGGCUCCUUCUUGGUCCACUCUGUCCACUGCUUAUACCUCCCUCCACUUUUGGCAGUUGACCUUCCUUAAAGGCAUUGCAUCAUCAAAAUACUUUCCAUUAAGAGCUAGGUCUACUUAGAGCUGGGUUUGUUCAUAAUAAAAUGUCAGUUUUUGAACAAAGUACCAAAUGAGGGCAGGCCUCAGCUAAAACUAUCUAUAGAAAUCUCACCAAUACAAAUUUGUUCCCUAAGUGACUUAAAAUUAAAUAAUUUCCCUGAGGGAGUUAAUACUUCUUGCCACUGUUUAACUUGAACUGAAGGUUUUAGUCAAAUUUUUUUUUUCCUACCAAUAAACUGGGACCAGCUUUCCUGAGUGAGUGUAUGGGGGGUGGUGCAGGGUAGAGUGAGGAGGAAGGGAAGACAGGCCUGGGUGAAAGAGGAUAUUCAUGAGGUCAAUUUUGGAUACUGACCUUUCUAGGGAGAGCAGUUCUAGAAUAAAUGCUAUUCGAACUGGAACUGCUAGAGGCUGGCAAAAUCUGUUCCUUGUGAGCACGAGGCACAAGGAACAUGGUUACGUCUCAGUCUUGGAAAUGAGAUGUUUCCCAGUGUGGAUAAGGGCGGUGCUUGAACUCUGGAAAAUUGAUAUUGUGUUCCCAUCUUCACCCGUUCAUUUCUUCAUAGCAAAA